rnacentral:rRNA from 1 species
CCAGACUCCUACGGGAGGCAGCAGUGAGGAAUAUUGGUCAAUGGGCUUACGCCUGAACCAGCCAAGUCGCGUGAGGGAAGACUGCCCUAUGGGUUGUAAACCUCUUUUGUCAGGGAGCAACGCCGGCUACGUGUAGCCGGACUGAGAGUACCUGAAGAAAAAGCAUCGGCUAACUCCGUGCCAGCAGCCGCGGUAAUACGGAGGAUGCGAGCGUUAUCCGGAUUUAUUGGGUUUAAAGGGUGCGUAGGCGGGCUGUUAAGCCGGGGGUCAAAUGGCGGGGCUCAACCCCGGCCUGCCGUUGAAACUGGCAGUCUAGAGUUGGAGAGAAGUAUGCGGAAUGCGCGGUGUAGCGGUGAAAUGCAUAGAUAUCGCGCAGAACUCCGAUUGCGAAGGCAGCAUGCCGGCUCCACACUGACGCUGAGGCACGAAAGCGUGGGUAUCGAACAGGAUUAGAUACCCCAGUA